AAAUUCAAAAUAAAUUAAAAAAGCUGUAGGUUGUAAGUAGGUUGUAAGCCAGGGCCCAACGAAAAGAGAUUCACCGCUCACCCAGGGUUUUCCUCUUUUCUAUAUUUCAGGUUUUUUUAUUUAUAUAUUUUACAGGUAUUUUCCGUUUCAGGUUUUUUCUAUUUUUUAGUCUAUUUUACAGGUUUCUUUUUUAUUUUUUCUUCUCUUUCAGCUAGCACCCGAGCCUAGAUUUUUAAAGCACUACAAUUUUUUCUUAAUCAUGAUGGAUUGAGAGUAGUGUUUUAAAAAUCAGGUAAAUCGCAAUGACUUAAUCGAUGUCAAUAUCGAAGUCGUGUGAGAAAUUGUUAUAGUAUGAGAACAAUUUCGUAAUUCGUGCUUUCAAAA